UCUCAUUAUAGCCUCUUGUUUAAUAAAAUAAUAAAAAUAAUUAUGAUUGUACUAAUAUACCCUCAUAGCCCCAUUUAAAAAUUUAUAAUAAAUAAUUAGAUUUUUAAAAUUAAAUUUCAAAGAACACUGCGUACAAACUCAAACUUUUUAUAAACCCAUCUCAUAUAUUUCUAAAACUUUACGAACAUAAUGAUGGAGAAGAAGACAAAUACUUUUUCUUGGUCCAGAGAGAGCCGCUGCGCCACCGCAUUGCCGCCGGCCAGAGACAGUUGGGCUCUAGCUGCCUGCAUUGUCGGAGGAAAUAGUCGAUCUUACCCUUCCAGGCUCUGUUCUACUUGCCGUUUUAGGGGUUUUCCUCUUUUGUCGCUAUGGGUUCUUGAAAAAGAUUGAGGAGAGUAAGCAGUCGGAGAAGGGAGAUACCACCGCCGCCGCCACCGUCGUCAACGAGAGGGAAUGCAGAUCGAGGGACGGCGGCGAUGACAUCAUCAUUAUGGGUGCUGGAGUGGCGUCGCCCUCGCUUACACUCUCGGAAAGGAUGGGCGAAAGGUUAGGGUGAUUGAGAGAGAUUUGACUGAGCUUGAUAGGAUUGUGGAGAACUCUUACAACCAAGUUGGUACGACGUACCUCAAGCUGAUUGAGUUAGAACUCCAAGGUAUAGUGUGUGUUUGUGUGCGUGUGUGUGUGUGUUUUCUUUGAGUGGAUAUAGUGUUAGGCUGUUAGCAAGAGUGAAUCUUUCUGGAAUGAAGAACAGGAUGAAAAAAUAUAUAACUUCGUAAAUAGAUGUUCGGUGGAAAGCUUUCUAUCAAAAUAUUGGACGAAUGUUAGAGGAUGGUAAGGAUCCCAUUGCAGAAGGGCAGAUGAAGAAACCAAGUGCUCGUAUCCAAAGUUAUCAUCUUUUUUCAAGAAAAUCACUAUAUACCUUGGGUACACAUGAUGUAUUUAUAGAUUCUGACCUCUUUUUUUUUUUUUUACUUUGUGAAUCUUGUGAAGCUCAAUUAGAAGUUGUGAAUGCUUUUGUGUUGUUGAG